AGGCAGCAGUGGGGAAUCUUCCGCAAUGGGCGAAAGCCUGACGGAGCAACGCCGCGUGAGUGAUGAAGGCCUUCGGGUUGUAAAACUCUGUCCAGGGGGAAGAAACAAAUGACGGUACCCCUGGAGGAAGCCCCGGCUAACUACGUGCCAGCAGCCGCGGUAAAACGUAGGGGGCAAGCGUUGUCCGGAAUUACUGGGCGUAAAGGGCGUGUAGGCGGCAAUGUAAGUCAGGAGUGAAACCCGUCGGCUUAACCGACGGCCUGCUUCUGAAACUGCAUAGCUUGAGUGCAGGAGAGGGAAGUGGAAUUCCCAGUGUAGCGGUGAAAUGCGUAGAUAUUGGGAGGAACACCAGUGGCGAAAGCGGCUUCCUGGCCUGUAACUGACGCUGAGGCGCGAAAGCGUGGGGAGCAAACAGGAUUAGAUACCCUGGUAGUCCACGCCGUAAACGAUGGGUGCUAGGUGUUGGGGGUAUCGACCCCUCCAGUGCCGCAGUUAACGCAAUAAGCACCCCGCCUGGGGAGUACGGCCGCCAA
rnacentral:rRNA from 1 species